GUGCCUCACAAAUUUCCUUUUUCAGCUUGAGAACAGCAGGAAGAUCCUCGAUAGAUAUUUCUCCUGGAUUUCGUCCCUCAGCCUCUUCAAACCUUUCUAUCACUCUCAUAGCAAAGUAAAGCUUUGACACUCUCCUGGGAAGUGUUCUCCAAGGUACUGAAAUUGAUUCCUGAAAACUUGGGUAUUGCAAUUCACAUUCAACGGUUGUGGGUUGAUUGUUUUCAUCAAGUUUUUUCUUUGUAUAUAUAUGCUUCUGCAAAUCAACAAAUAUCUCACCACAAGAAUUUCUGCAGUCAACUGUAUAAAAAGCUACACGCUUUGAUAGCUUCCGGCACUUCUCAUUGAUCAAUUUUUUGGUCAUGAGGGUGCAACAACUGACAAUGACAACAUCAAACCUGUCGAAGAAGUCUCCACCAAAGCUUGACAGAUCACCUUUUUCAACUGAAACACGAACCAUUGGGUUAAAUACUUUUAGAGAAUUGCAGCAAAGCUCAGCAACUGUUUUCUCAGCACAUACAUUCUCAUCAGGCAGUAUCAAAAAGUUAGAAGAUAAUGCAUCUUCAGUCACAGCCCGGUCAUCCACCAACGUCAAACUACCAACCCCCGCUAAUACAAU
rnacentral:misc_RNA from 1 species